CCUACGGGAGGCAGCAGUGAGGAAUAUUGGUCAAUGGACGAGAGUCUGAACCAGCCAAGUAGCGUGAAGGAUGACUGUCCUAUGGGUUGUAAACUUCUUUUAUAUGGGAAUAAAAUGUUCCACGUGUGGGAUUUUGUAUGUACCAUAUGAAUAAGGAUCGGCUAACUCCGUGCCAGCAGCCGCGGUAAUACGGAGGAUCCGAGCGUUAUCCGGAUUUAUUGGGUUUAAAGGGAGCGUAGGUGGAUUGUUAAGUCAGUUGUGAAAGUUUGCGGCUCAACCGUAAAAUUGCAGUUGAAACUGGCAGUCUAGAGUAAAGUAGAGGUGGGCGGAAUUCGUGGUGAAGCGGUGAAAUGCUUAGAUAUCACGAAGAACUCCGAUUGCGAAGGCAGCUCACUGGACUGAAACUGACACUGAGGCUCGAAAGUGUGGGUAUCAAACAGGAUUAGAUACCCCGGUAGUC
rnacentral:rRNA from 1 species